AUUGAACGCUGGCGGCAGGCCUAACACAUGCAAGUCGAACGAGUGGCGGACGGGUGAGUAAUGUCUGGGAAACUGCAUGAUGGCGGGGGAUAACUACUGGAAACGGUAGCUAAUACCGCAUACCAUCGGAGGUGACCAGAUGGGAUUAGCUAGUAGGUGCGGUAAAGGCUAACCUAGGCGACGAUCCCUAGCUGGUCGAAGAGGAUGACCAGCCCACUUGGAGCUGAGACACGGUCCAGACUCCUACGUGAGGCAGCAGUGGGGAAUAUUGCACAAUGGGCGCAAGCCUGAUGCAGCCAUGCCGCGUGUAUGAAGAAGGCCUUCGGGUUGUAAAGUACUUACAGCGGGGAGGCGUUACCCGCAGAAGAAGCACCGGCUAACUCCGUGCCAGCGGCCGCGGGGAUAC
rnacentral:rRNA from 1 species